AGGUGUGUUUCCCGAGGUGGCACAAUGGGCACAAUACAGCCUCUGAAGACAUAAAGAUGAUGAUACAACAAAGUGGAUUGUCAGACCAUCUACAUAUUUACAGCGGCACAGCGGUCCCAGCAGGAGCCACUCCAGCCCGGGGAGAGGAUCCUUCCGGCCAGCGGGGGCUCUGGAGGGGGAUGGAGAGCCACGGAGACAGAGACACGACAUGGGCCACUUUAGGCUUGCAUCACAUGAUCCGUGUGAAAGGAGCUGGCUGAUGAGAAGCUGACACCGAUCAUCCAUCCAGCCUGUCCAUUAUGUCUGACAGUGUGAAGUGACAGGAGGACGACGUCUUCAAAAUCUUGCAGAUGAACCUCUUUUUGUUUGCAACAAAUGUAGCAGAAGUAGCCACAGGAGUCCCAGACAGAAUAUUGCUAAGUUGCUCUGAUAUAGCUCUGAUCAGUUUAUUUCUAUUCCAAAUGCUUCUAGAGAGUUGGCUCAUGUGAAUUUGUACUAAUACCUAUACCAAUAAUCUCUCCAGUCAGUAUAUGCUGUAUGUAUGUUUGUUGCUAAAGAGGCCUCUGAGGUAGAUUUUAUUUUGAUACAGCUCCUGCUGGUUCUCAAUCCUGGUCCUUGGAGCUCAGAGUACAGCUGGAUUUCUAUCCUAUCAGAUAUUUCAAUGCAUUUAGCCGGUGACCAAGGCAAGUUUUGGAUUCCCAGGUCAGUCCUGGAUUUCACAGCUGGAAUGAAACCAGUGAGGCUGUCGAGGACCAGCACUGAUAACUAGGACCAAUUUAUCAAUUUCCUUAUAUAC